rnacentral:lncRNA from 1 species
AAGUAUGCUUGCUUCAGAUUCAAAUUUCUGGGCUCUACCUCAGACUUACCUAAUCAGAGUCAAACCGAGGGAAUCUGAACUUUUUUUUUUUUUUUUUUUUUUUGACAGGGUUUCACUCUGUUGCCCAGCCUGGAGUGCAGUGGUGUGAUCACAGCUCACUGCAGCCUCUGCCUCCUGGGCUCAAGCCAUCCUCCCACCUCAGCCUCCUGAGUAGCUGGGACCGUAGGCGUGCACCACCAUGCCGGGUAUCAUCUUCCUGGAUCUGGCCACACUGCUGCUGAAUCAAUGUGGGGAACUGUGGACCUGUUGGUGCAAUGAAUUUGAGAAGCUUCUGUGCUGCAGAGCUCCAAGGCUGGUCCUGGUAGACUGGUGCUACCCCAAGGAUGUCCCAUCUUGAAUGCACGUAUAUUCUGGAGCAAGACUUCUAAGGAAGCUACAGAAAACAGUGAGCCUGAGAGAAUCACAGAGUCAAUGAACAAAUGUUUAAACAGUCACUUAAUGGCUACUAAACUGAUAGAAACUAACAACCAGUUGUCUACAGUGUUUCCUAAUUUGGGCUGAUCAGAUUCAUCUGUGAAACUUAAAAAAUACAAAAAUAUUAAAGGAAGGAAUUCUUAUGGUGACCAAAGUAUAAAAGUUCAUAAACAUAAAAAGUUCGUCUCCUCUCUCCCACCCCCAAAUAUCUUGAUCCCUAAAUGUAACUAUCAAAAAAACAAAGUUCCUUGGGAAAUUUGCUGUUAAUAAACAAAGCAGAUAGACAGAUACAUAUAGAUAAAAUGAUAUCAUGCUCUUCAUAUUAUUCUGCAACUUGUUUUUCACUUGAGCAAUCAGAAUAUACAGAUCUAUUUUUAUCUGGUGGUCUGAAUUGAAGGACGCUCACAUGGCUUUGACUGUCUUUUCCUGCUGGAGAUGUGUGGGUGAGACAAAGGCAUAGAAGCCACUGGUCCUCUAACUUUACCUGGAGGGCAUGUUCAAGUGAGAUUACUACUCACAUCCUCCCCAUUCCGC